rnacentral:lncRNA from 1 species
UUCCUUAAUUUUCUGACUUAAGCGUUGGAGGACCUCUACCGAAACCAACUCCAAUAAAUAUUUAUUUUAUAGAUUAAGUCACCGUCAUCGAGUACCAGCCUACAUCUCUUCUUGAGCCAAUUCGGAUUUAGCUAGAAGACUAGCAAUAAUAGAUUGGCAUCAAAGAAAGGACUUAGAUCCCUUUACGGGAAGAAGCAAGGAGUAAACAUCUGAUUGCUAUGGCACCAUAUAAAGAAACUUUGUUGCGUCGCUCCAACACCACCACUUCAAAGGCGGCUGGAGUCCAAGCAAACUCUUAGGCACCCCCACAACAAAUGGAGGUGCUGCCUCCACCCUCCCAACC